rnacentral:rRNA from 1 species
UACGUAGGGUGCAAGCGUUGUCCGGAAUUAUUGGGCGUAAAGAGCUCGUAGGCGGUCUGUCGCGUCGGCUGUGAAAACUCGGGGCUCAACUCCGAGCUUGCAGUCGAUACGGGCAGGCUAGAGUUCGGCAGGGGAGACUGGAAUUCCUGGUGUAGCGGUGAAAUGCGCAGAUAUCAGGAGGAACACCGGUGGCGAAGGCGGGUCUCUGGGCCGAUACUGACGCUGAGGAGCGAAAGCGUGGGAGCGAACAGG